GCUUCUUUCAUGCUUUGUUCUUUUUCUUCCUUGAUCGUGUUUUCUUUUUUCCUGUAAGAAAUUCAAUGCAGUUGGGGAAGAGAUAGUGAAGAAGAAAGAUGAAUAAGACAAUGUGGCAGCCAAGGUAGGAAAAAGGAAAAGGAAAGAAAAAGAGGAAAAAAUAAAAAAAAUAAAAAAAAGGUACAAAAAGGACGACACGUAACGCUGUGCGAGUG
rnacentral:lncRNA from 1 species